rnacentral:Y_RNA from 1 species
GGCUGGUCCAAUGAUAGUGGGUUAUCAGAACUUAUUAACAUUACUGUCACUAAAGUUGGUAUUCAACCCUCCACUGUGAAAUUUGACUGGCAAAA